AGCACGCUGAGCGACAGUCGUGUUCUGAAUGUGAUGGAGGGAGGAUGUUGCACGUGCUCGGAUAAGCCGAAGCGCAUGACCCGGUGUUUGAAUGCAGAUGGUGUUAGGAUUAAUCGUGUAUUUGCGUGUAGGUGAGCUGCAGUAGCAAAGUCUAUAUAGAACAGAGGUCGAAUCUUAGCAAAUGUCAUGUCCGGCAUUUUGCACCCGAUUUUUGACGUUUAAAUUGAAAUCUGUUUACAAAUAACAAAAGCAGCUGUAUCGCACAAUAAGGUUCCCCGGAUGUUUUCACGUUGCAAAACGAUAAAUUUUAUCUAAAAAACUCUUAACAAGACUUCAAGUAUCAUCAAAAUUUCACACACUAGCAGCUGGAGGUGCUCAAGGACCUGGUACCAACAGCAGCAUCAGCUAAAAAAACAGUAAACAUUUCCUACCUAAACUUCUAGAACGUUCCCACAGCAUUCUGUCAGUUUGUAUGGGAUGCAUCGACCUCUGUCCUAUACAGACUUUGUGCGAUAGCCUGGAGUUUCUUCACUUUGUGACGAUCGAUUCGUGUUUGCCGCUUCCCGAAACAUGUUUGCUGCGAGAAAUGAGGAACACUGGCGAACACGAGGAGUGCAACAGAAUAGUGAAAGAAAUCAACGGGUUUGCAAAAUAAAUAAAAAUUCAUCGGCGUAAUAUCACAGUCUUAUCCGAGUGUGUAUCAGAGUGAUAUCACAAUCUUAUCAGAGACUGCAUCACAAACUGCAUGAAACCACACGUUUAAUUUGUUGUAAUUACUUAAAUCUGCUGGUCUCUAAAGCAAGAUUUAGCCUCGCGAAAAACAUGUCAGUUGAUACCGAACUUCUAAAUGUUAUAAACUAAAAUUUCAACGGCGUCCUAAAUAAAAACAUAGAAAUAGAUUUUUUAAAGAUCAACUAAUACUGACAAAAUGGUCAAUACCCAAACUUAAUUUAAGCCAGAAGUUACAUUUAAAAUAACUAAUUACGUAAUUCAUAGGUUAGAUAGAACUUAAGGACCUCAAGGUGGUUUCGCUGUAGCAGUAAGAUAGGAUGUUGCUCAUACAUUAGGGAAAAAUCCCGUCACUAAAACAAUAGAAACAUUGCAGAUCAAUGUAAACACUCGUGCGGGACACAGUAUCAAAGUGAUCGCUUCAUACCACCCGGGUUCAAACAAAAAUAUGAAAUUUUUCUUAUCUGAUUUGGUAACAUUGACUAGUUAUAGAUCUUAUUAUUAUUAUUAUUUUUUGGCACUACAACCUCAAGAGGUCUCGGCCUGCCAUUUCUGGCUUUCUGUGACUUAAUUUUACCCGUAGAAAAGUAGUCAGCCUUACGUACGGGGAGGCGGUCUGGAUGGGAUUUGAACCCCGGCCCUGCCGUGUGAAGGCGCCGAUGUCGCCUCGGCCACCAGACCGCCCAGUUAUAGAUCUAGUACAAUAAAUUUCGGCGAUUUCAACGCGCUUAACAGAGCAUGGAACUGCGCUAGUACAUGGCGCUGCUGGAAAGACCCUCUAUGAUCAUAUACAAAAAGGUAUCUUUACGGUUUAUUAUGCUUAUUCUUCCACAUUCUACUCUGCAGACGCAUUUCGAUUCCCUUCAGCACCCCAUUUGAGCAAAUUGUCAACCCCCACAACGCUCUUAGACCUAUCUUCUCAUCUUCCUGUAUUUUUUAAAAUAAAAAUUCAAAACCUUGCUCAAGUCCCCAAACAAAAUAUAUAACUAUGCUGCUGCUGAUUGGAGCUUAUUUAAUGAAUAUGUAAAUAGUCACUUAAAUGUCAACUACUUCAAUCAUAUUCACGUUAACAGAGCUAAUAAAAUUGAUAUAGUGAUUACACAUCUAAACGAAGUCUUGACUACGGUUCAUAACAAAUCAGUCCCAACCAUAAUCCCAGGACAAUUAAGAUUAAUUAUUCCUGAAGAUGUUUUGAAUUUGAUAAAACUUUGCAAUAUUUUAAGACUUAAGUUGCAAAGGCAUCGGCUUUACUUGGGCUACAAAAAUCACAUCUUGGAUCACAAAAUAGAUUUCAUUUACAUAAUUUAAGAAAUCGCUCUUGGUCAAGAGUUCUCAAAGAUCUUAAUAGAGAAAAUCAAGACAAAAAUAAACUCUGGAAAAUUGUUAGACUGAUUAAGAACAACACUAAUAUCAAUCAAUAAUUUUAAAAUUUGAAAAAUAUGAAGCUAAUAAAAUAUGUAACAGCUAUUUGGAUGUGCACACAAAACACCUUUUUCUCUUCAAGUCCGCUAGAGCGUCUAAGAAUCGCAGUCAAUAUUUUUUUUCUCGUCUAACAAUGACAUAGAAAAAAAAGCUAAAGGACGAUUAAUUUGCAGAGCCAUGUAGGAGAAACAGAUGAAAAAAUCCAAGAAGUGCGGUUACGUGCCCAUACUGACAGUAAAAGUAUCACUCCAAAAUAUCUGUUCGGGUUCCAACCAUCAUUGUCUUCCACCCAUCAACUAGAUCGGCAUUAUGAAUAAUAGAAGGACUAAUAAAUCUACCGGGUUGGUCCUACUUGAUGGCGAAAAGGCUUUCGAUACCAUCUGGCAUGAAGGCAUGCUAUAUAAACUAUUUAUUUAUUUAUUAAGUAUUACGGAAUGAUGCCAUAUUGCCACCACUGAAUGUGGUGACUGUAAAUAACAUUCACGAAAAAAAAAAA